ensembl:lncRNA
GGCCAGUGAUCCUGACUGAAGUGAUUGAGGAACAUCUGCAGUCUUUCUUCUGUGGUAUGAGCUAAGGAGCUUCAUCCCACUCAGACAUGAAAACGUUUUUCACAGCAGGAAGCAUCGCGAUUCAUUUACUGCAGCAGCGUCUCAGUCUCAGUCAUCCCGCGGAUGAGAAUAAUUGCAGAUGGGUGUUAUGUGCGCACGCACCAGCAGGCGGCUCACGUGAGUCAACACGUGUGUCAACAGAACCAGAAACUACACAGCGCUAAAUAAAUAGCGUUAUGUCAAAAUACUAAUUUAUUUGUUUUUAAAUUAAAUAAAAUUGUAAUCUUGAUAGUAUUCCCACUUUUUACAAAAUGUAAAAGUAAUCUGAAUACUUAGUUUUUUUGAUGUAACUGUAACGGAUUACAGUUACUAGAUUGUUGUAUCCUGAUUGCAUAACGCUAUUAGCCUACAUGUAUUCCGUUACUCCCCAACCCUGCAUAAUGCUAUGAAAGUGGUUACUUUUUACCUUACCUCCCUUAUAAAACUGCUCUUAUGAGACAUAAUCCUCCAAACCCCUUAAGCUGAAGUAUAUAUGACAACUAGCCUGAUGUUUUCCUCAAAGUAUUAAUUUUGAGUGUCAUUUCACUGUAGUUUUUUCUCUGACUCAGCCUCAAACAAGGCACUUCAUUUGUCAAUCAAACCAUCUAUAAAUAAUCUGUUUUGGACCGUCCCUAUGACUUUGAUGGCUCUUGAAUACCUCCCUGUCCAGUCCUCCACAGAGCACUAAUUUAAGUGUACUUAAUAAACAAAGGGUCAGAAUUAACAAAGCGGUCACUACGUCAGUGUGUUUCUGCAAUGACACAAUUAAACAACUGAGGCUAUGCAGCGUUCCCAUCCUAACUUCUGUAGCCGCAGCUGUUUUAGUACAUCAGCUCAUGAGAUUGCGUAGUGUCUGCCAUUUUGUUUUCCUCACGCUGAGGUGUGAGAGUACCAAGAGACUGAAUCACGGACGCAGACCCUGCAGGCCACUGAAUCACCCUCUGUUUAACACAUAGACGCGUUUCAGCAUCCAAGCUGUCUUCUGGACGCUUAAGUUUGUCUUCAGCUAUGGCAAACAAAUGUCAAGAGCAGCCAUGAGCAACACACACCCCCCUCGGGAGCAGCACUGUUGAUGUUUAAGAGUGGAAAGUACCCAUUUGAAACCACUGUCCAUUAAGUGUGUUGGGAACAGGUCCUCCUUUCUGUGUGGGUGGUCUGCAAAGCUUCACUGGAAAAAUUGCAGCAAAAGCAGCAUGUUGUAUCGGCCCGCGGCCAGAAGCCCAGAUGUGACAUUAAUUGUUAUUAAUCUGCUCAGUGAGCCAGUAGUCCGUUUUCACACUUAGUAAAUAUAGGGUACACUUUUAAGUUAAACAAUAAAACUUCAUAUUUAAGUUCAAUAUAGAGGAACAGGAAAUGUGAUGUUUUUGUAGUAAUUCCACCAGACAGUUACAUGACCUCUACUGGUUUCAUGAAAAGACAGGCUGUGUGCUGUGGAUCCGAAAUUCACUUUUUAUGCACAAGUCCCGUCAAAGGCGAGUGACCUGAGAAAAUUUAAACAGAAAUAAAUCUUAUCAGCCACGAAACUGAAUUUAGUGUUUAUUUAAAACUAAUUUGGUCUGAUUGACUCGUUUUAAAGCUACCUUGAAAAACAAUUGGCCAUAAGAGUCACAAAGGGUUUUUUUUUGUUACUUGAGAUG